rnacentral:tRNA from 2 species
GCUAGGAUAGUUUAUAUUUGAGAAUUUUUAAUUUGUAAUUAAAAGGUUUGUUUUAGCU